GAUGAACGCUGGCUACAGGCUUAACACAUGCAAGUCGAGGGGAAACGCCGGGGAAGCUUGCUUCCCCGGGCGUCGACCGGCGCACGGGAGAGUAACGCGUAUCCAACCUGCCUCUGACUGAGGGAUAACCCGCCGAAAGUCGGCCUAAUACCUCAUGGUAUCGUCUGCGGGGAGCCAACGACGAUUAAAGAUUUCAUCGGGCAGGGACGGGGAUGCGUCUGAUUAGCUUGUUGGCGGGGUAACGGCCCACCAAGGGUACGAUCAGUAGGGGUUCUGAGAGGAAGGUCCCUGACAUGGGAACUGACACACGGUCCACACUCCUACGGGAGGCAGCAGUGCGGAAGAUUGGUCAAUGGGAGAGAGCCUGAACCAGCCAAGUAGCGUGCAGGAAGACGGCCCUAUGGGUUGUAAACUGCUUUUAUGCGGGGAUAAAGUGAGGGACGGGUCCCUCAUUGCAGGUACCGGAUGAAUAAGGACCGGCUAAUUCCGUG
rnacentral:rRNA from 1 species